UCUCCUGGAAAAGGGUGGUAAUGCCGGAUGUUCCAGUUGAUCGCAUGGUCUUCUGGGAAAGCUUUCGCGGUAUGGGAUGGGGUCGCGUCCUAUCAGCUUGACGGCGGGGUAACGGCCCACCGUGGCUUCGACGGGUAGCCGGCCUGAGAGGGCGACCGGCCACAUUGGGACUGAGAUACGGCCCAGACUCCUACGGGAGGCAGCAGUGGGGAAUAUUGCACAAUGGGCGCAAGCCUGAUGCAGCGACGCCGCGUGAGGGAUGGAGGCCUUCGGGUUGUAAACCUCUUUUAUCGGGGAGCAAGCGUGAGUGAGUUUACCCGUUGAAUAAGCACCGGCUAACUACGUGCCAGCAGCCGCGGUAAUACGUAGGGUGCAAGCGUUAUCCGGAAUUAUUGGGCGUAAAGGGCUCGUAGGCGGUUCGUCGCGUCCGGUGUGAAAGUCCAUCGCUUAACGGUGGAUCCGCGCCGGGUACGGGCGGGCUUGAGUGCGGUAGGGGAGACUGGAAUUCCCGGUGUAACGGUGGAAUGUGUAGAUAUCGG
rnacentral:rRNA from 1 species